rnacentral:lncRNA from 10 species
GUGUGUGUGUGUGUGUGUGUUUCAGACAGGGUCUUGCUCUGUCACCCAGACUGGAGUACGUUGGCAUGAUUACGGCUCACUGCAGCCUCGACCUCCUGGACUCAAGUGAUCCUCCUUCCUUAGCUUCCCUUGUAGUUGGGACCACAGGUGUAUGCCACCACAUCUGGCUUAUUUUUUAAAUUUUUGUAGAGAUGAGGUCUCACUAUGUUGCCCAGGCUGCUCUCAAACUGCUGAGCUUAAGCCAUCCUCUCGCCUCAGCUUCCCAAAGUGUGGGAAUUAUGGGCUUGAGCCAUCAUGCCUGGCCUGUUCUAAUUUUUAAAGUUGUAAGUGUAUGACAAAGCUAUUUGAGUGACUGAUUAUAAGUGUAUAUGAAUGUAUGUUGUCAUAAUCUAAUAAAAUCUGAGACAGUUAAUCUAUCAAUAUUUAACAAUAUACAUAAUCAUCACCUUCUUUGGUGGUGAUUAGUUCACAUAAUUACUACACUUAGUAUUAUUUUUGUGGUCAAAUAUUUCUAGGAUAAUGGGAAAUUGAGGUAUGAAUAGGCAACACAGGAAACUACUCUAGGACCCUACUGAGAACCUCUGAAUGCAACCUCACAGUGACUCAGGCAGCCAUACCUUCCUUGGUGUUCAAGGAGUGAGGUACAGAUUCCCCUUCCUGACCCUCAGAAAUUUCCCUUCUGAAGGAAGGACUGGAAAAUAAGAUUGGAUUUAGCGAGGUUAGAACAGCACUGUCCAAUAUAAUGUAAGCCACAUAUGUAAUUUUGUAUUUUUAGAGCCACCUUACAAAACAAAACAGAUAAAAUUACUUUUAAUAAUAAAGUUUAUGUAACCCAAUAUGUCCAAAAGGCCAUUUUAACAUGUAAUCAAUAUAAAAAUCAGUGAGAUAGUUCACAUUCUAAGUCUUUGAAAUCUGCUGCGUAUUUUCCUCUUACAGCAUAUCUCAAUCUUUUUUUCUUUUUUUUGUUACUUUAGAUGAAUAUGCUUAUAUACAAAUCUGUUCUGAUACUAAUUUUUCAACAGUAAAAGUGAAAUGCAGUCCUAUUUUUAAAAAUGAAGUAAUUUGUAGGAGAAAAAUAUGCUCCUUCAGUUUUUAAAGUAAAAAUUAAAUUAUUCAGUUUCAAGUGUUUAAUAGACACAAGUGGCCAGUGGCUACCAUAUUAGAUAGCACAGGGCUACAUUUUGAAGAACUAGGCAGAGGAAUAUACUUAUCUAAUUGCUCCUCUCAUCCCAUCUUUCUUCCUAGAUCCUAAAGUCCUGCCAAAUUGAAGGCAAUUAUGUACUUGGGGUGCGGGUUAUAAACUCCAUAGAAAGAGGAGUAGGUGAUAAAUUGAGCCUUGAGACUUGAGUAAGAACGUUCUGCUCUUUCCUGCCCACCUCAUCUGGGAGACAGCUGGAGGCCUCAUCUGCAUAUUUUUUUCAAAGUCCCUCAGCCCAGAGCCCGCUGCGGGGAGC